CCCGCUGAACUUAAGCAUAUCAAUAAGCGGAGGAAAAGAAACCAACAGGGAUUGCCUCAGUAACGGCGAGUGAAGCGGCAAAAGCUCAAAUUUGAAAUCCCCCCGGGGAGUUGUAAUUUGAAGAUUGCGUCUUGGAGGCGACCGUGUCUAUGUUCCUUGGAACAGGACGUCACAGAGGGUGAGAAUCCCGUGCGGCACGGCCCCCGGCUCCUUAUAAGGCGCUCUCGACGAGUCGAGUUGUUUGGGAAUGCAGCUCAAAGUGGGUGGUAAAUUCCAUCUAAAGCUAAAUACAGGCGAGAGACCGAUAGCGAACAAGUACAGUGAUGGAAAGAUGAAAAGCACUUUGAAAAGAGAGUGAAACAGCACGUGAAAUUGUUGAAAGGGAAGGGCAUGCCGUCAGAUUGUCAGUGUGGGUAAGAAGCGGGGUACAAAGACUGUGGAACGUGGCCCUCGGGUGUUAUAGCCGCAGUUCAUGCCCCGUCUCUUUCCGAGGCCUGCUUUGAGGACACCGACGUAAUGACGGUACGCCGCCCGUCUUGAAACACGGACCAAGGAGUCUAACGUCUAUGCGAGUGUGUGGGUGUCAAACCCAAACGCGUAAUGAAAGUGAACAGAUGAGUUUC
rnacentral:rRNA from 1 species